rnacentral:rRNA from 1 species
AGCAGCCGCGGUAAUUCCAGCUCCAAUAGCGUAUAUUAAAGUUGUUGCAGUUAAAAAGCUCGUAGUUGAAUUUCGAGAUCAAAUUGUUGGUCGUGCCUCGGUACGUACUGGCAUUAUUGAUUUCUCCCUUCUGAAGAACCUUGAUGUCAUUAAUUUGGUGUCUUGGGGAAUCAGGACCGUUACUUUGAAAAAAUUAGAGUGUUUAAAGCAGGCUCACGCUUGAAUACAUUAGCAUGGAAUAAUGAAAUAGGACGUUUGAUUCUAUUUUGUUGGUUUCUAGGAUCGACGUAAUGAUUAAUAGGGAUAGUUGGGGGCAUUAGUAUUCAAUUGUCAGAGGUGAAAUUCUUGGAUUUAUUGAAGACUAACUACUGCGAAAGCAUUUGCCAAGGAUGUUUUCAUUAAUCAAGAACGAAAGUUAGGGGAUCGAAGACGAUCAGAUACCGUCGUAGUCUUAACCAUAAACUAUGCCGACUAGGGAUCGGAUGAUGUUAAUUUUUANGUACUCAUUCGGCGCCUUAAC